UACGGAGGGGGCUAGCGUUGUUCGGAAUUACUGGGCGUAAAGCGCACGUAGGCGGCUUUGUAAGUUAGAGGUGAAAGCCCGGGGCUCAACCCCGGAAUUGCCUUUAAAACUGCAUCGCUAGAAUUGUGGAGAGGUAAGUGGAAUUCCGAGUGUAGAGGUGAAAUUCGUAGAUAUUCGGAAGAACACCAGUGGCGAAGGCGACUUACUGGACACAUAUUGACGCUGAGGUGCGAAAGCGUGGGGAGCAAACAGG
rnacentral:rRNA from 1 species